GACGAACGCUGGCGGCGUGCUUAACACAUGCAAGUCGAACGGUAAGGCCCUUCGGGGUACACGAGUGGCGAACGGGUGAGUAACACGUGGGUGAUCUGCCCUGCACUUCGGGAUAAGCCUGGGAAACUGGGUCUAAUACCGGAUAGGACCCUGGGAUGCAUGUCCUGGGGUGGAAAGCUUUUGCGGUGUGGGAUGGGCCCGCGGCCUAUCAGCUUGUUGGUGGGGGGAUGGCCUACCAAGGCGACGACGGGUAGCCGGCCUGAGAGGGUGACCGGCCACACUGGGACUGAGAGACGGCCCAGACUCCUACGGGAGGCAGCAGUGGGGAAUAUUGCACAAUGGGCGCAAGCCUGGUGCAGCGACGCCGCGUGAGGGAUGACGGCCUUCGGGUUGUAAACCUCUUUCAGCACCGACGAAGCGCAAGUGACGGUAGGUGCAGAAGAAGGACCGGCCAACUACGUGCCAGCCGCCGCAGUAA
rnacentral:rRNA from 1 species